GGACCUGCGGCGGUCCCGCCCCCUUGCCGAGGCCGCGCGGGCGGGUUCCAUGCCUGUCCAGCGCUGAGAGUUGCCGGCCAACUUCGCGGUCUCCACGUCGCGCUUAACUUGGCAGCAGCACGCACUUCCAGCAUCUUUUUUUGACAGCAUCUUUUUCAGCCUCGCUCUGUCGCCGAGGCUGGAGAGCAGUGGCGCGAUCUAGGCUCACUGCAGCCUUGACCUCCCGGGCUCAAGCGAUCCUCCUGCCUCAGCCUCCGGAGUAGCUGGGACCACAGGCGCGCGCUGCCACGCCCGGCUGGUUUGUUACUUUUAUUUUUCUCUCCCUAUGUUGCCCAGGCUAGUCUGGAACUCCUGGGCUCAAGCGAUCCGCCCACCUCGGUCUUCGAAAGUGCUGGGAUUCCAGGCGUGAGCCGCCGCGCCGGCCUUAACAGCGCAUUUUCACCAGCCCCGCCCCGGCCGCGCGCGGCACUGGAAGCCCCAGCGCCUUCUGGACGGCGAGGGUGACGCACUGGCCCUCUUCCUCGGUGUCCUCAGGUGCGUGGCGGCGGCAGUGAGAAUGAGUUCUUCGAGAUCGCCGGGAGACCACACAAUAACGACGAAGUUACUUGCCGGGCUCCUCUCCGAGACUUGAAAACUUCGCGGCGACUUCUCUCGCCGGCCUUAGCAUCGCCCCCAUUUUUCAGGUUACAGAACAGGCCUACAACUGCAAAACGCUUUGUAAACCACAGGACCCCGCGCGGAUGUGCGCCACUGGGUUAGGCCCCCACUGGUCGCGUCCGGCGCUGGAGGAGCCCAGUCAGCCGGCGCCUGCCGGGUUAGCACGUGGACUCCGAGGGGCCAACUAUCAGCUUUCCCUGACAAAAUGCCUUUGAGCUCACCCACAGCUCUGAAACUCCAGCUUGGGAGCAGGGAGAGUGCAAUCUGUGACCUGUAAAGGGGCGCUGGGCAAAAGGGCCCGAGAGAAGGCGUCCUUUCCAUUCCCUUCCCAUCUCAAGCUGAGUUCAGAAAUGACACGAAAUAAUUUUAUCAACUAUCAGUCAAGGUCGGGCUCACGCCUGUAAUCCCAGCACUUUGGGAGGCCGAGGUGGGCGGAUCACCUGAGGACAGGAGUUCGAGACCAGCUUGACCAACAUGACGAAACCCCGUCUCUACUAAAAAUACAAAAAUUAGCCAGCGGUGGUGGUGCGCACCUGUAGUCUCAGCUACUUGGGAGGCUGAGGCCAGAGAAUCGCUUGAGCCCACGAGGUGGAGGCUGCAGUGAGCCGAGAUCACACCACUGCACUCCAACCUGGAUGACAGAGGGAGACUCUGUCUCAAAAAAUAAUAAAUAAAUAAAUAAAUAAAUAAAUAAAUAAACUAUCGGUCAAGGUGA